rnacentral:rRNA from 1 species
UACGGAGGUGGCAAGCGUUGCUCGGAAUCACUGGGCGUAAAGGGCGCGUAGGCGGGGAGGUAAGUCGGGUGUGUAAACCCUCGGCCCAACUGAGGAACUGCGCCCGAGACUGCUUCUCUUGAGUCCCGGAGAGGAAGGUGGAAUUCCCGGUGUAGCGGUGAAAUGUGUAGAGAUCGGGAGGAACACCGGUGGCGAAGGCGGCCUUCUGGACGGUGACUGACGCUGAGGCGCGAAAGCGUGGGGAGCAAUCGGG